GGGGCGCAUGGUCUUAGCUUGCUAAGGCUGAUGGCGACCGGCGCACGGGUGAGUAACACGUAUCCAACCUGCCGUCUACUCUUGGCCAGCCUUCUGAAAGGAAGAUUAAUCCAGGAUGGGAUCAUGAGUUCACAUGUCCGCAUGAUUAAAGGUAUUUUCCGGUAGACGAUGGGGAUGCGUUCCAUUAGAUAGUAGGCGGGGUAACGGCCCACCUAGUCAACGAUGGAUAGGGGUUCUGAGAGGAAGGUCCCCCACAUUGGAACUGAGACACGGUCCAAACUCCUACGGGAGGCAGCAGUGAGGAAUAUUGGUCAAUGGGCGAUGGCCUGAACCAGCCAAGUAGCGUGAAGGAUGACUGCCCUAUGGGUUGUAAACUUCUUUUAUAAAGGAAUAAAGUCGGGUAUGCAUACCCGUUUGCAUGUACUUUAUGAAUAAGGAUCGGCUAACUCCGUGCCAGCAGCCGCGGU
rnacentral:rRNA from 2 species